UACGUAGGUCCCGAGCGUUGUCCGGAUUUAUUGGGCGUAAAGCGAGCGCAGGUGGUUUAUUAAGUCUGGUGUAAAAGGCAGUGGCUCAACCAUUGUAUGCAUUGGAAACUGGUAGACUUGAGUGCAGGAGAGGAGAGUGGAAUUCCAUGUGUAGCGGUGAAGUGCGUAGAUAUAUGGAGGAACACCGGUGGCGAAAGCGGCUCUCUGGCCUGUAACUGACACUGAGACUCGAAAGCGUGAGGAGCAAACAGG
rnacentral:rRNA from 1 species